rnacentral:lncRNA from 10 species
UUCCACUGCACAUCUCCCUGCAGCUCUCCAAACAGACCAUCUUCCUGUGGACUCUUCCACCAAACACGGAGAGACUCUUCCAUUGAAGUGCAAUCAGAAACAUUGGCAAUGCAAAAAAGCGACAAAACUAUUUAGUGUGAACAACGCAUAGUAUAUCUGGAGAAGAAUGUAGAAGAGAAAUUAAAUUGACAGAAGAUUCUCAUGAGGCUCUUUGGAGGAUACUGGUGAAGAUCACAGACUCUGGAACCAGAGUGCCUGGAUUUAAUGUCUGUUUCUAUUGCUUAAUGACUGUGUGACCUUGGAUAAAUCACUCGACCUCUCUGUGCUUCACUUCCUGUAUCUCUAAAAUGGAUAUUGUCAUCUGCUUUACUGGGUUGUUGUAAAUAGUAAAUGAAUCAAUAAACAGAUGUAAGGUACUUAGACCACUGCUUGGCACAUGGUAAGCAUUCAAUACAUGUUAGUCAUCAUUAUUCGAAGGACGAAGUUAAAUACAGGAUUCAAAGCUCAUAGCAU